UAGGGAAUCUUCGGCAAUGGACGAAAGUCUGACCGAGCAACGCCGCGUGAGUGAAGAAGGUUUUCGGAUCGUAAAACUCUGUUGUUAGAGAAGAACAAGGACGUUAGUAACUGAACGUCCCCUGACGGUAUCUAACUAGAAAGCCACGGCUAACUACGUGCCAGCAGCCGCGGUAAUACGUAGGUGGCAAGCGUUGUCCGGAUUUAUUGGGCGUAAAGCGAGCGCAGGCGGUUUCUUAAGUCUGAUGUGAAAGCCCCCGGCUCAACCGGGGAGGGUCAUUGGAAACUGGGAGACAUGAGUGCAGAAGAGGAGAGUGGAAUUCCAUGUGUAGCGGUGAAAUGCGUAGAUAGAAGGAGGAACACCAGUGGCGAAGGCGGCUCUCUGGUCUGUAACUGACGCUGAGGCUCGAAAGCGUGGGGAGCAAACAGG
rnacentral:rRNA from 1 species